GUGGAGCUGGAAAGGUGGAGGCGGAAGUGACUGAUCAAUUCAGGGGUGUGGGGUUCGUUUAGGUUUUGCCCUGUGUAUGACCUCUUUUGGAGCCAUGAAACCAGAGUUUCACUCUUGUUGACCAAGCUGCAGUGCAAUGGCGUGAUCUCGGCUCACUGCAAUCUCUGCCUCCCAGGUUCAAGUGAUUCUCCUGCCUCAGCCUUCUGAGUAGAUGGGAUUACAGAAAGCUCUUCCACAAGUUCACCAAUGGAAAUAACAUCAAGAGUUUUUCAUCGUCUUAGUGUGCAAGGUAUGGAUAUUCUGUGUGUGAACUUCAAGAGUAUCUAAGGGAGGCAAUAAUGCGGUUGAGAAUAUACCAAAGACUACAAACUGUCUGUGCAUCCCAGAGGAACAGGAAGCUUGUGCAGGUGAAAAGACUGGAGGAGGAAGUAUGUUGAUGAUACCCAGGAAGCCCACCUUCCACUUCUUUGGUCAUCAGAAAUGUCUGAGGAAUAGUCUUAGUGGAUUAUCCCAAACUUGACACAUUUUUUGCAAAAUGCUAUACAAAAAGAAGAUACAUGUGAUUAUGACAAGAUUCUCCACUUGGUGUGACCGGUCUCAUACAACCCAAGGCUGUGUGUCCAAACGCAAUUGCACUGAUCUUGACAAUAAUCAAAAUGUAGCCAGGUGCAUUGG
rnacentral:lncRNA from 1 species